rnacentral:rRNA from 1 species
GACGAAGGGGGGCUAGCGUUGUUCGGAAUUACUGGGCGUAAAGCGCGUGUAGGCGGUUGCCCAAGUCGGGUGUGAAAGCCUUGAGCUCAACUCAAGAAAUGCACUCGGUACUGGGUGACUAGAGGACCGGAGAGGAUAGUGGAAUUCCCAGUGUAGUGGUGAAAUACGUAGAGAUUGGGAAGAACACCAGUGGCGAAGGCGGCUAUCUGGACGGUUUCUGACGCUAAGACGCGAAAGCGUGGGGAGCAAACAGG